GUGCCAGCAGCCGCGGUAAUACGUAGGGGUCGAGCGUUGUCCGGAGUUACUGGGCGUAAAGCGCAUGCAGGCGGCUCAUUAAGCAUGGCGUGAAAGCCCCCGGCUCAACCGGGGAGGGUCGUCGUGAACUGGUGAGCUUGAGGGUAUCAGGGGCUGGUAGAAUUCCCGGUGUAGUGGUGAAAUGCGUAGAUAUCGGGAGGAAUACCUGUGGCGAAGGCGGCCAGCUGGGAUACACCUGACGCUGAGAUGCGAAGGCGUGGGGAGCGAACGGGAUUAGAUACCCCGGUAGUCC
rnacentral:rRNA from 1 species